rnacentral:rRNA from 1 species
UACGAACCGUACAAACGUUAUUCGGAAUCACUGGGCUUAAAGGGCGCGUAGGCGGCCAUGUAAGUGGGGUGUGAAAUCCCUCGGCUCAACCGAGGAACUGCGCUCCAUACUGCAUGGCUUGAGGGAGACAGGGGUAAGCGGAACUGAUGGUGGAGCGGUGAAAUGCGUUGAUAUCAUCAGGAACACCGGUGGCGAAAGCGGCUUACUGGGUCUCUUCUGACGCUGAGGUACGAAAGCUAGGGUAGCGAACGGG